rnacentral:rRNA from 1 species
GAUGAACGCUGGCGGCGUGCCUAAUACAUGCAAGUCGAGCGAACAGACGAGGAGCUUGCUCCUCUGACGUUAGCGGCGGACGGGUGAGUAACACGUGGAUAACCUACCUAUAAGACUGGGAUAACUUCGGGAAACCGGAGCUAAUACCGGAUAAUAUAUUGAACCGCAUGGUUCAAUAGUGAAAGACGGUUUUGCUGUCACUUAUAGAUGGAUCCGCGCCGCAUUAGAUAGUUGGUAAGGUAACGGCUUACCAAGGCAACGAUGCGUAGCCGACCUGAGAGGGUGAUCGGCCACACUGGAACGGAGACACGGUCCAGACUCCUACGGGAGGCAGCAGUAGGGAAUCUUCCGCAAUGGGCGAAAGCCUGACGGAGCAACGCCGCGUGAGUGAUGAAGGUCUUCGGAUCGGAAAACUCUGUUAUUAGGGAAGAACAAAUGUGUAAGUAACUAUGCACGUCUUGACGGUACCUAAUCAGAAAGCCACGGCUAACUACGUG